rnacentral:rRNA from 1 species
GACGAACGCUGGCGGCGUGCCUAACACAUGCAAGUCGAACGGAGAAUCAUUUAUGAUUCUUAGUGGCGAACGGGUGAGUAACGCGUAGACAACCUGCCUUCUAGAUGGGGACAACACCGCGGAAGUGGUGCUAAUACCGAAUGUUGUAACUUUGCUGCAUGGUAGAGUUACUAAAGGUGGCCUCUAUUUAUAAGCUAUCACUAGAAGAUGGGUCUGCGUCUGAUUAGCUAGUUGGUGAGGUAAUGGCUCACCAAGGCGACGAUCAGUAGCCGGUCUGAGAGGAUGAACGGCCACACUGGGACUGAGACACGGCCCAGACUCCUACGGGAGGCAGCAGUGGGGAAUUGUUCGCAAUGGGCGCAAGCCUGACGACGCAACGCCGCGUGGAGGAUGAAGAUCUUCGGGUCGUAAACUCCUGUCGAGCGGGACGAACGCCUUGUGGUCUAACACACCGCAGGGGUGACGGUACCGCUAAAGGAAGCCCCGGCUAACUCCGUGCCAGCAGCCGCGGUAAUAC